GACGAACGCUGGCGGCGUGCUUAACACAUGCAAGUCGAACGGAAAGGCCUCUUUCGGGGGGUACUCGAGUGGCGAACGGGUGAGUAACACGUGAGUAACCUGCCCUCGACUUUGGGAUAACUUCAGGAAACUGGGGCUAAUACCGGAUAGGAGCUCCUGCUGCAUGGUGGGGGUUGGAAAGUUUCGGCGGUUGGGGGUGGACUCGCGGCUUAUCAGCUUGUUGGUGGGGUAGUGGCUUACCAAGGCUUUGACGGGUAGCCGGCCUGAGAGGGUGACCGGCCACAUUGGGACUGAGGUACGGCCCAGACUCCUACGGGAGGCAGCAGUGGGGAAUAUUGCACAAUGGGUGGAAGCCUGAUGCAGCAACGCCGUGUGCGGGAUGACGGCCUUCGGGUUGUAAACCGCUUUCGCUCAUGACGAAGCUUUGUGUGACGGUAGUGGGUAAAGAAGCACCGGCUAACUACGUG
rnacentral:rRNA from 1 species